rnacentral:rRNA from 1 species
CCUACGGGUGGCAGCAGUGGGGAAUAUUGGGCAAUGGGCGAAAGCCUGACCCAGCCACGCCUCGUGCAGGAAGAAGGCUUUCGGGUUGUACACUUCUUUUGACAGGGAAGAGCAGAAGACGGUACCUGUCGAAUAAGCCACGGCUAACUACGUGCCAGCAGCCGCGGUAAUACGGAGGGGGCAAGCGUUAUCCGGAUUUACUGGGGUUAAAGGGCGUGUAGCCGGGAUGACAAGUCCGAUGUGAAAUUCGGGGGCGCAACCCCGGAACUGCAUUUGAAACUGUUGGUCUGGAGUAUCGGAGAGGCAGGCGGAAUUCCUAGUGUAGCGGUGAAAUGCGGAGAUAUUAGGAGGAACACCAGUGGCGAAGGCGGCCUGCUGGACGACAACUGACGGUGAGGCGCGAAAGCGUGGGGAGCAAACAGGAUUAGAUACCCUAGUAGUC